GACGACGCUGGCGGCGUGGAUUAGGCAUGCAAGUCGAACGGUAUCAUCCUUCGGGGGUGAGAGAGUGGCGAACUGGUGAGUAACACGUAGGUUAUCUACCUCAAGACGGGACAACCCAGGGAAACUUGGGCUAAUACCGGAUGUGAGCAACUUUUAGUUGUUUGAAAGGUGGCGUAAGCUGUCGCUUGGGGAUGAGCCUGCGUCCUAUUAGUUAGUUGGUGAGGUAACGGCUCACCUAGGCAAUGAUAGGUAGGCGGCCUUAACGGGUGGUCGCCCACACUGGGAUUGAGAUACGGCCCAGACUCCUACGGGAGGCAGCAGUCGAGAAUAGUCUACAAUGGUCGGAAGACUGAUAGUGCGACGCCGCGUGAACGAUGAAUCCCUUCGGGGUGUAAAGUUCUUUUAUAUGUGAGCAGUGCUUCUUAUAUUAACAGUAUGGGGAGAGAGAUAUUAGCAUAUGAAUAAGCAACGGCUAACUCCGUG
rnacentral:rRNA from 1 species